rnacentral:lncRNA from 1 species
GGACAGAGAAGAGAGGGCUAGGUUGCAUAGACUCCAGGGCACACUGCAUGCUGGGUGUUUUUAUUUUUAUCUAAAAGUUCACUCUACCCGAGAAGACUCUAGUUGUGAGAUCUAACAAGUAUAAAUAGUCCCUUAUCAUUGACAUUUUGUGAAAAUGGGCAACUCUUCAACUUUGAGAAGGUAUACUUGAGGCCAACAACAAGGAACACAUAAUCUGGUCUCAGGAAACAUUUUGCAUCAUCUGGUAAAGGGAUUUCUGCCUCAUCAGAUUACAGACUACAUGUGAAGCCUUGAAGGAUAGCUCCAAGGAGAUGCGUGAGCACAAGGCAGUGUCCUCACAGUGAGCUAGGAAGAGGCUUGCACUGUCACUGCCAGUCCGUUUGUGCAUCAGAGAAGGCCUAAGCGUAAUUGAGCAGUCAUUGCUGUCUCCUCCAGGGAGAGGAACCAUCCUCCUCACAGAUGGCUGAAGAUCUUAUGAAGCUGAACCUCCCAACAAAUCCUCAUAUUUCGAUACAAAUAAGAAUAUGAUUGUCAAUAUUCAUACAAUGUUUUAAACCUUAUGUAGCAAUUUUGCACAUUCUUAUACUCUUUCAGAAAUAGUGUGGGUUGUGAUGAUAGAUUUGGGUUUGAAUUCUGGUUAACCUGUUGGCUAUGUGAUCCUGGGUGAGUUACGUAACCUCUCAGAACAUAUUUUCUCCUCUAUAAAAUGGUGAUGGUGAUGGUGCUAGGGUCAAAAUGAUACCACCUUAUGGGAUAAGGAUUGGAUGAGAGAAAUACCUAGCUUGACCCAUAAGAGGCACUCCAUUUCCUUCCCUUUUAUAAAGGUGGUUAUUUGCAUCAGUAGACCUCAGAUUUCCACAAUAGUUACAUGUUUAUAUAGGUGAUGUGUUCUCUUCAAACAUGUCUCAUGUUACAUGGUGAAUUUUUUUUUAAGAGAUAGGGUCUCACCCUGUCACCUAGGCUGGAGUGCAGCAGCAUGAUCCUAGCUCACUGCAGCCUUGAACUCCUGGGUUUAAAAUAUCCUGCCGCCUUAGCCUCCUGAGUAGCUGGGACUACAGGUGCAUGCCACCACACUUGGUUAAUUAAAAAAAAUUUUUUUUGUAAGGACAGGGUCUUGUUAUGUUGCCCAGUCUGGUCUUGAACUCCUGGCCUCAAGUGAUCCUCCUGGCUUGGCAUCCCAAAGCACUGGGAUUACAGGCAUAAGCCACCACACCUGGCCUCCCAGUGAUUCUUAACUCAGCAAUGGGGCAUGGAGGCGUUAAUAUCUGUAUUGCUAUAAAGCACCCCUGAGCCUCCAGACUGAGAAUUGUCAGUCUACAGUAUGAUACCCCAAGUAUCUCUCAUGAGUUUGAUAUUUUUGUGAUACCUUAUUCUUCACUCUUAGUAGGUUUAUUUCAAUAAAGUAAGGCUUUGCUUAUAUGGGAGGGCAGUGCAUUAAGCUAAUGCAAAUUAUAGUUGAUAAACUACCUUCUCAUGUAUCGCUGAAUGCCAGGGAGCAUUUUUGUUGGGGGCAGUGCUGGCGGGAGUUUUGAUGGAAGUAAUAGUAGAGAGAUGGAGAGUACACAAGACCUAGAGGAGGGUUGAUUGAACCAUAAGGAAAAACAGAUAAAAGGGAAGGUGAGAGGAAUUGAAGACAAUUAUCAUUUUUCUCAUACAGCCUCAUUUAGCAGGCUGAGACUUGGCUGUUUCGGGAGUACCUGCUGCCUCUCACUAGAAACUGCCAUCUUUAUGCUAUCACCCUGUCUCUCAUCCAGUCUUACCUACCUGAGGUAUAAGACCUGGACUCACCACUUGAGUUAUACAUGGCUACCUGAUCCAUCUCUUCAAAGUCAUAUUAAAUACUAUAAGAUUCUCAGAUUUAAUCUGUCAAAACCUAAAUAGUUCUCCCUAUAAUGAUACACGAAUGGUUACAAAUAAAGUUUGGAAACUGCAAAUUAGAAAACUAGAGAGAAAGGAAGUGGUUCCAGUCUACCAUGAGCAGCUCAUAGGCUAGAUGAACUGAACAUAGCUUUUGGUUUGUUCUAAGGAAAGGAUAUAAGACCAAAGUGUCCAUAAAGUUCUUAUUUAAAGUAACUUUUAGAGUUUGGGGUAAGAGAUCUUUCAAUUGAAACUACUAAGAAUACUUCUUAGGCCAGGCAAUUUGAAUUGAUGAGAUAAGAUAAAGCUGAAGGUCAAAGUUAUGACUUUGAGAAGAGUCAAGGCAAUGCCAUCAUCAAGGGAGCCAAUCUUCCAGUAGACAGGGGCUCCUGGAGUGAGAACUACAGACCUGCUGUUUCCAGGCUGCAAAUUAAUUGCAUUGGCCCAGCAGACACCAUCAGUAAACAAGCCUGCCAGGGAAUAUCUACUUGAUCCUCUUUCACAGAGCAAACUUCCAAGGGCUGCCUGGGUCCCAUCCUUAUUUUGUUAUCAUCUUCAAGUGAGUCCAAGUGCACAGCAAUGAAAAAAAUGCAUGUGUAGACUAAAGAAAAGAGUAACAUAACGGUGCGUUGGACCAUGAAGUGAUAGAUAGCUUCAUGAGGAAAGAAGAAUUUUGGAGGGACCUUGAUUAUGGGCAAAAUUUAAAGAAAGAUGGGAGACAGCAAAUGUAUCCAUACUUCUGGAAUGUUUUAGCUUUUGGCACUUAGGUUUGAGCAUCCCCAGAUGUCUGUGGUGUACCUCAUAAUCUGGUCCUUGCAGUUGGGCUGAUGUGAUAACAUCUGUUAUCUAAGGUAUCUACUGUGUGCUCAUGGACAAGGCAUCUGUUUCUGUGACUCUGUUUAUUUUCAUUGAUGACUCCCAUAUUGAAACUCCUGGGAAUGAUUCCAUGAAAGAUGAAAUAAGCCAAGGUUCGAAGGAGCAAACAGUUCAAACACAUAGUAAUAUAGUGGGAAUUAGAGCAGCCUGAUGGAUGUGUGGAGACUUCACCAGCUGGAAGCAGACUGGGAAUUACAAGUUUCAUCAACAGAACCAAAGCACAUGACAUACGCCACAGGGCAGAAUCCUUAUUAUGUAAUAAUAACCCCUGCACACUUCUCUCCCCCAGUUAACAAUGCACAGAUUGAGGUCAUUGUGUAUUUACAACCUGGAGAUAGCUGACAGCCCAUACUUCACCUUGAAGUUUGACUUGUCUGUUCCCUCAAAUGUGUCGACACUUCUGAAAUGUUUUCUCCUUUGGCACAUCGGUUUGAACAUCCCCAGAUGUCUAUGGUGUACCUCAAAAUCUGGUCCUUGCAGUCGGGGUGAUAUGACACAUCUGUUGUCUAAUGUACCUACUGUGUGCUCACGGACAAAGCCAAAUAAUUAAUCUGGGCCGGGAUUGUUCAUGCUUUCACAGUUCGGUUCGGCAUUGAUCUCUUCUUGCAGAAGGCCUAUAUUGGGACCAAACUGGGAAUGCAACAGGGCAAAGUUGGUCUAAAAAUCCUCUGGGAAUUUUCCAUUUGGCAAUUAAAUUUUCUGUAGAUUACAUCUCUCUAUCAAUUACCAGUGUGGCUUUUAUAAUGUUAUAAAAUCUGAGCAUAGCCAGUUACAUUUCUUUUACCCUGAGUCUCUGGGUCUUUAUCUGAAAAAUUAAAGGACUAGAAAAGAUGACUUUGAGUUUUUUACAGCUCUAAUGUUUGAGAAUUUAAUAAUUUCUCAGUAGUGAAAGUCAGAUUUCUUGACAAUAUAGCAAUUAGUUUGUCCACCUGUAUGUACUCUCCUACAUGUAUCUGCCUGAAGCCCAUUGCUACUGGUAUCUCCCAAGAUGGAAAUGUGCCAAGCUGGUAUAAGCCCAGUGGAAUUUCACUAAGAAACUAGACCCAGCCACUCAGCCCAUACUCACAGUCUUAUCUUUCCUCCCAUUCAUUUACCCAUUCACUCAACAAACAUUUAUUGAAGGCCUGUUAAGUGUUAGGUACUAAUCUUUAGAACCUGCUCUAUGGCUUUUUAGUCCAUCUUCCCUUCACUCACUUUUUUUGACAAACCAGGCAGACAAUGGUGUAGGAAAUGUAUAUUUAAUCAUUCUCUUGAACGAUCAGAACUCUAAAAUCAGUUUUCUAUAACAACAUGUAAUACAGUCACCGUGGCUCCAAGGUCCAGGAAGGCAGUGGUUAACACAUGAAGAGUGUGGGAAGGGGGCUGGAAACAAAGUAUUCUUUUCCUUCAAAGCUUCAUUCCUCAAGGCCUCAAUUCAAGCAGUCAUUGUCCUUGCUUUCAAAAGUCUGUGUGUGCUUCAUGGAAGGUAUAUGUUUGUUGCCUUAAUUUGAAUUGUGGCCAGGCAGGGUCUGGAGAUCUAAAUUCAGAGUAAGAAAACCUGAGCUAGAACUCAGGCAUUUCUCUUACAGAACUUGGCUUGCAGGGUAGAAUGAAGGGAAAGAAACUUAGAAGCUCAACAAGCUGAAGAUAAUCCCAUCAGGCAUUUCCCAUAGGCCUUGUCAACUCUGUUCACUGAGAGAUGUUAUCCUGGUGCCCGAUAGAGUUCUGGCUCUCUGUGCUGAGGCAGCAGCCAAAGAGACAGAAUGCUUAUUUGCCAAUGACUAAUGUGAGGAAGCAGACAGAUUUGUUGGCUCCCCUCUUUCCAGGCCCUUUUCUACUCAAAACCAGGGUUUCUUAGCCCUGACACAGUUGACACUUCGGAUUGGGUAGUUGUAAUGGGGAGACGUCCUGUACAUGGUAGGAGGUUGAGCAGCAUCCCUGGCCUCUAUCCACUAGUUGGUAGUAGCACUGUAUCCUCCUCCACUCCCUCAUUGAGGUAACCAAAAUUGUCUUCAGACAUUCCCCCGGAGAUGGGGGGCGAAAUCACCCCAGCUGAGUCCCACUGCUCUAGAUGCUAUUGAAAACUGAGGUCUUAGCUGUCCACGCAGGAUGGAAAGGAGAAGCCUCAGAGCUUGUGAUGACAUAAUGCCAUAUAGACAAGGUGAAAGGUCCUUCCCUGGACCAUUCACGGAUGAACAUCAUCUGAGAAAUAAACCCGCAUUUGUUUGUUUAAAAAGAAGGUGCU